rnacentral:rRNA from 1 species
GGGANUUGGACAUGGGCGCAAGCCUGGAUCCAGCCAUGCCGCGUGAGUGAUGAAGGCCUUAGGGUUGUAAAGCUCUUUCACCGAUGAAGAUAAUGACGGUAGUCGGAGAAGAAGCCCCGGCUAACUUCGUGCCAGCAGCCGCGGUAAUACGAAGGGGGCUAGCGUUGUUCGGAAUUACUGGGCGUAAAGCGCACGUAGGCGGAUAUUUAAGUCAGGGGUGAAAUCCCGCAGCUCAACUGCGGAACUGCCUUUGAUACUGGGUAUCUUGAGUAUGGAAGAGGUAAGUGGAAUUCCGAGUGUAGAGG